rnacentral:lncRNA from 1 species
UUAAAAAUUGGAAGAGAGAAGGAGAUAGCAGGAGAGGUAGAGCGAGAGAGCGUCCCUCUGGAGUUGACAUUUGGAGUAUGCGACGACAGAGAUUUUGUUGUUUUCACUUCUGGUAAUAUCUCUUUUUUUCUCAAGUUCCGAUUUCUACUCCGUUGAUUGAGUUGUUUUCUUUCUGAAUUGGAUUUUUAUGAGAGGUCCUUUAGGGCUUGGGUUUGAAUUUUUGGUUUAUUUGGAUAUGGGUUGUGUUUUGGUGGUGUAUUUCACGAUGGUGGGGGAUUUGAGGAAGAAUGCGAACAAAAUCUGAAAUCCACCCUGGAUGGAUUGGAUUUUGGGGUUUUGAUUAUUUCUUGUUGAUUUGGUUUUCGGAUUGGGGAUUAGUUUUGUUCAUGAAUUGGUUGGAAAUUUGAAGCUUUGAUGAUGCAUUAACAGUUUUGAUGAUGGAAAACCAAUCUAAAAUUGCACAGUUCUGCAGUUAUUUUUCCAUAGCUUCCAUGGCAUCAACUAUGUCAUUAUUAGUGUUUGCCAUAUUCCUGCAGGUUGGGCAGUAGCUAUAGACGAGGAGUAGCUAUACUCAAUUUCACCAAUUCUAAAACAUUAACAUUAAUAUGUAAUACCUAAAUAACAAAGCAAUUUUCCUUUGUUUCUCUCUUAUAUUGGCUUUAACCCUAUGUUUAAAUCUAAUCAACACAAGUAAUGAACUACUUGAAAUUUG